GGCGAGAAACACAAGAAAGCCUUUGUUGGAAGAUGCUGAUCAACCACCUCAGUAGUCAGUUUAACUGCAGGAAGAGAAACUGUUUGAGUUCACUGUGCAGCGGCUUCCACAUUUUUAACCACAUGGAGCUCCUGAUGGCUAAAGUAGUUAAGAUGAAGUAGAAGUUGAUACCAUACGGUUGUCUCUAGCACUGUAGUAAGACAUCAAGUAUAGUGUUUCUAUGCUAGUUCUCUAUAAAACUGAUCGCCGAAGAGGUAUUGUUUAAUUAUUCCUGGAAGAGAAGGAGCACAAAUAGUCUUGAAUUGAGAAUGCUUUCAUUGUAUGUGAUUAUGUUAUAGAAACUUUUGGAAUGCUUUCUCCCCAAGUUAAAAGCCAGAAAAAUACAAUAUUUUGCAUUAUAUGCUUUCAAAGAAAACAAUGGACUAACAGAUCUGCGAAGACUAGUAUACGGAGAUGUCAACUAAUGGCUAAGAUUUUUUGCUAUUUGCCAAAUGAGCUGUUUCUCUCUUUACAAUAUUGAAUAGCUGUUUUUAUUUUCAAGCUGCACAUUAAGCUGCAGAAAAAGUGUCUGCUCUGUUCCCCUCAGAUUCUUGCUUUUUCAAAACACAAAUAAAAACAGAGCAACUAGGAAAUUCAAACUGUAGGUCAUAUGGAAGACAAAAAGGCAGCUACUGAGAUGUUCCUGCCUUUGUUCCCAGCAGGUGGUUCAGGAAAACCCAGUCUGAAGGAAAAAUCAGAUAUUUGAGUUCUAAAGUGCAAAGAUGUUAAAAAUGAACAUGGCUUUCAGAUUGCAACUCCUGCUUUUUUUGAGUUCCUGUUCAGGCCUCACUCGUGUUUAAGACUGCUCAUUUCAGUACAGGGCAUGACUUUCCAAAAAUGUAAUAACUUAAUUCAAAGGUUUGUUUACUUUUACAAACAGAAAGCUUUGGGAAAGUUCGAACAUUUGGGCUGCCAUACAUCCUAUACUUCAUAGGCAGAAUCACAACUGGUACCUUUGAAAAAAUUGUAACUAGAAGUGUACAAGAAGGUGACCUAGAGUAUCUGAGGCUGGGUGAGAAAGCCCACAAAUUCCAUGCAUAACUCUAACAGUUUGUGCUUUGGGACUUUACACUUUUCCACACGAAUGCCUGUCUUCCAAAAGCCUAGUCAGAAAUCUUAUUAACAAAACCCGAGAUAUGUUUGCUCAGUACACCGGUACAUGCAGUUACAAAAGCUACAACUAACAGAGCAGAAAUGAAUACUCAGGAUGUGGUGGAAACCUUGUUUAAUCAGAUCUGAGUGUACUUCCACCAAAAAGGGAGUUUCUGCAUUCUCCUGGGCUGGCAGCAAUGCUCAGGUGGCUCCAGUCAGCUGCAUCAGGGGACUCAUCCUGCUAAAAAAGCUUAAGCUUCAGCUUAAGCCACUUGUGAAACUGUACCCUUAAAAGCCUUUAAUCAAAAUCAUAUUCCUGUCUGUUUUUCAUCAGUGAAAGACAAUAACAUUUUACUUUUGAAACCUCAAAUAUGGAAACGGUCCUUGGUUCACUGGCAUGCAUUUACCACAGGGAAAAUGCAUGUGACCAACUUGAUCGAUUGCCCUCUAGGAUGAAAUGACUGGCCUUGGGGAUGAGCGGACAGCAGUGUAUGUAAUGUCAUUUGGCUUUAGCAAGGCAACAUUGUCUCCUGUGACAACCUUGUAUCCUAACCGAGGAGAUAGGGAUCGGAUUGGUGAAAAAAACACUUUUGGACUCAAAGUGUGGUGUUCAACACUUUGUAGUCUAACUGGCAGCUGGUCGUAAGUGGUGCUCCCCAGGGGCUGAUACUAGGCGCAAUACUGUUUAACAUUGUCAUCAGUCACCUGGACCAUGGGAUGAAAAGCAUCCUCGUCAGGCUUGGGGAUGCCAAACGGUGGGGAGUGGUCAACGCACUGGACAGCAGCACUGCCGCUCAGAUGGAUCUUGACAGGCUGGAGGACUGGGCUAACAGAAACCUCGUGAAGUUCAACACAAACAAAUGGAAAAUCUGGGACUGGUGCAGAAUAACCCAUGCAGGCUGGGGACUGACCAGCCAGGAAGCAGCAUGGCAGAAAAGGACCUGUGAGUCCCAGUGCACAAGUUGAACAUGGUUGAGCAAGACAAAGCCAGGCUUCUCUCAGACGUACACAGCAGAAAGGCAAGAAGCAAUGGGCACAAACUGCUGCAAAGGAACUUCUGACUAGAUACCAGGAAAUAAAACCUUUUAUGGUAAGGGUAGUUAGUUAAACACAGAACAGGUGCCCAGGAGGUUGUGCAAUUUCUGUCCUCCUUAGAUUUCCAGAGCUCCCCUGGACAAGGCCCUGCGCAAUCUGAUCUAACUUCAAAGUCAGCAGCAGCUGGACUAGACAGUUCCUUCAAACCUCAACUAUUCCAUAAUUCUACAGUUCUAACCGUGAUAUGGACCAUGCAUUCUUCUCAUCUGUUUUGUGCAGACCAGCUGCUCAUUAGACAUAGUUUCAUAACAGCUCUGAUUUGACUUCAGCAACUUCUGGAAGUAAAAAACUAAUUUUAAGAAUGUGUUAACCUGGGUUUAUAUAGCUGGACUUGCAAAUUUUGGCUGGCUGUAGGAUGCUCAAUAAAGUUCCUUUAUCUUCUGCA